rnacentral:lncRNA from 1 species
UUUUUGGGAUAGCAUUUGAAAUGCAAAUGAAGAAAAUAUCUAAUAGAAAAAUUGGAAAAGAAAGAGAAUGUUGUGCUUCCCUGCCUUCUAGUUCUUUUUAAAGGUCUGGUCUCAAAAUACAUUAGGAGCUACUUGAAAUACUAAUAGAAGUUCUCAGUUAAGUAUGCAUUCCGCCAUGCCUCUUUAGAAGUAAUCCUGCUUCAAACGUCCCCAGGGCUAUCUAGUUUCAUCAUUUCAAGUAUGUUAUUACAAAUAUGGCCAACUUUAGAUAAUAAACCCAGAGAUAAGGUUGUAAGAAGAAUAGAUGUCUAUUUUUCACUAUCAUGGAAAAUAUUUUCCACUACAAAGGAGAGAGUGUUUAGAAAUUCUUCUAAUUUUUCAGUGUUCUGGUGACCCUUUAGCUGUCAGUUGGUUACAAUGCCCAUACUUCUACAGAAUACCACUUCUGACAUCUAUAAAAGCUUCCCAAGGUAUCUAUGUUUGACAAAAUAUUACAAAAAUUAGAUAAAAGUAAUGGUUCUAUUUGUUUGUUUGUUUGUUUGUUUGUUCAUUUAUCUACUUAUUCAUUUCAUCCAGACUAGGUUUUACCUCUCUUCUUUCCUCCCAGGCCCCACCCCCCAGAUUCUCUACUUCCAGGCCCCAUCCACUCCUCUUCAGAAAAGGGGAGGCCUCCCAUGGAUGUCAACCAGCUGGUGAUAUCCAUGUUACAGUAAGGUCAGGCACCUCCUCUCCUGUAAAGGCUAGAAGAGGCAAUCCAGCAGAAGGAAAGGGUCUUAGAUGCAGGCAACAGAGUCAGAGUCAGCUCCUGCUCCCACUUUGGGAUUCUCCCCACAGCACAUUGAUCAGUAUAUAUAUAUAAUGAACAAACAAAUUAAUGUAGAAAACCAACCAUAGAUAGAUAGAUAGAUAGAGAUGAUAUUGAUAUAGACAUAGACAUAGAUAUACACACACACAUAUAUGCUGGGGAUGAGACUGAUUUAGUAGUUUAAACUUAAGCAGAGACUAUGGGUAGGUCAAUGAGUUGAGAGAAAGAUCAAGGAAUUCUAUCAGCAGCAGAUGGAGGAGGAGGAAAAUCCGGGACAUAAAAAGAGCAAACUAUGGUGAUCUGGUGAUCUGGGGUACCUUUCCCUUGGCGUUUUUUAACCUUCAGUUCCCGAGCUCAUACAUUAAGCUGGUUAGUAAGAAAUCUGAUGAGAGUUUAUUGUCGUGCCUUGGUGCUCUAGGAGCUACUCCCAGGACAUAGUGCCACAGUCCCAUUUCCUUGGGCCUGAACCUAUGAUUCCUGCAUAAGGGAUAGUAUCCGGCCAUUGUACCGUUGCUUGUGACAUGAUGGUUACUGACCAAUGUGCUGUGGGGAGAAUCCCAAAGCAUUUCUGUUUUGAUCACAAGUAAAAGUAUCCUUUUUAAUAGCAAUACAGUACUAACUGCAGUUAAGUCCUUGCUGUCUGCUUAUCCGGGAAAACAGCUCAGAUCAAGCACUGUAAGUCAAAGGAGAAUGGGCAUCCCGAAGUCACUAGAGAGUUUAAAAGUGCAGGAGCAAUUGGCCAUGUAAAAACAAACAAACAAACAAACACUGACAUAACCCAGUCUCUUGUUUCUCUCCUGCAAUGUCUCUCCAUUUUUAUUUAUUCUUAAGACUUUUAAAGUAAGGAUUCAUGAGUGUUUUCUCCUCUUCUACUCAGCCAAGUUUUCUUCAUAGCACCGGUGACCCCAGCUUCAGGCUACCCAAUUCCUUUGACCUCUGUGGGUUCUACACUUAUGUGCAUAUACCGAAACAUGGGCACAGUCUAGUUAAAAAUAACAUAAUAUUUUUCAAAUAGAAAAUGCAAAGGACAUGAUAGGAUGUGAUGAGAUAAAAAUGAAUAAACAAAUUAAUGUGGAAGACCAACCUUGUAACCAGCUGGAAGUUGCUCUUGGAGCUAGAGAGAUUGAAGAGGGCCUCAAGCCUGUAAUCCCAGUUAGUUGGAAGAGAAGGCAAAGGGAUUGAUGCAAAAAGAAACCAUCCUGGAUACCCUAGGGAGCUCUAGGCUGGUUUAGGUAACAGAGUGAAACAGUAUUGC